CCCUGCCCGUCACUGAGGUGUGUGACUGAUUUGCCUCUCAGUCCUUCACACGUGAGGAGGGGACGCUGCAGUGUAAAGUGUUUUGGGGUCUACGCAGAGCUGGUGCUGCCUGCAGCUGUGGAGCAAUGGCCAAAGCUGUGAACGGAUGUGGGGGAUUGAAGAUAAUCUGCACUUCAGGGGUCCUGCAGUAUUGCCGGGGUGUGGAAGGCAAGGGCCCGCUGAGCACCGUGGAGCUCCUCGGGAAACCAGCACCUUCCCGUGGAAAACGAGACAGGCCCCUGAGACAUGAAAACCCCGUCUUUCCAUCACUGCCUUCUCUCCGUGAGUUUUCUCACUUUGUUCAGUUAUUACUAAAAGGAAACAACCUCUGGGUUUGAGAAGUUUCCAUUGCUGUCCUACAUGCUAAAAAGAUCACACUUCAGUUCCAAAUAUACUUGGACUAUUGUAUCUCUCUUAUAUUUUUGUCUACCUUAAAUUUUCUUCUCCCCUUACACCUGCUGCUACCAAGAUCUCCUACAGAUAUAUUUGAAAUUAAUC